rnacentral:rRNA from 1 species
UACAGAGGCCUCGAGCGUUAGGCGGAAUCACUGGGCUUAAAGCGUGUGUAGGCGGACUUCUAAGUACCUUGUGAAAUCCCACGGCUUACCCGUGGAACGGCUGGGUAUACUGGGAGUCUUGAGCCACCUAGGGGCGAGUGGAACAAAUGGUGGAGCGGUGAAAUGCGUAGAGAUCGGAAAGAACACCAACGGCGAAAGCACUCUGCUGGGCCGACACUGACACUGAGAGACGAAAGCUAGGGGAGCGAAUGGG